AAAGUUGAAAAGAACUUUGAAGAGAGAGUUCAAGAGUACGUGAAACCGUUCAGGGGUAAACCUGAGAAACCCAAAAGAUCGAAUGGGGAGAUUCAUCGUCAACAUGUCUGAUAUAUGUAUGAGUUAUGAUGUAGAUUAUCCCUUCACGGGGAUAUUAAUCUGUACAUACUUGUAUUAUUUUAUUGUCAUACAUUGUCGGCGUGCACUUCUCCCCUAGUAGGACGUCGCGACCCGUUAGGUGUCGGUCUACGGCCCGAUUGGGUAGCCUUUGAUUGUAAAAAAUUAAAGACCAAUUGGUGUUUUCUGACCGACUGCUUGGCGGUACUCGUACAGUAUUGAGUCGCAAUUAUAUGCGUUCACACCCGUCGCAAGCGCGGCCAGUAUCCCGGUAGUGCGGACCUAGUGCCGUCACUGGGCCUGGCCAGCUGUUGGCUGUUGCGGUGUUCUGGAACUGACUCAAAUAAUAAAUUACUGGUCGGCGACGCUACUGCUUUGGGUACUUUCAGGACCCGUCUUGAAACACGGACCAAGGAGUCUAACAUGUGCGCGAGUCAUUGGGAUUUUUUAUUAAAUUAAACCUAAAGGCGCAAUGAAAGUAAAGAUCGUCCUUGCGUCGAUCGAGGGAGGAUGAGCCGUGUUACGAUACGGCUCCGCACUCCCGGGGCGUCUCAUUCUUAUUGCAAGAA
rnacentral:rRNA from 1 species